rnacentral:tRNA from 1 species
UCCCUGGUGGCUCAGAUGGUAAAGCAUCUGCCUACAAUGCAGAUGCUUUGGGUUCGAUCCCUGGGUCGGGAA